GACGAACGCUGGCGGCGUGCUUAACACAUGCAAGUCGAACGAAGUGGGAACGGGUGAGUAAUACGUGAGUAACCUCCCUCCUUUUUGGGAUAAGCCUUGGAAACGGGGUCUAAACCGAAUAGAUGGGCUCGCGGCCUAUCAGCUUGUUGGUGGGGAGAUGGUCUACCAAGGCGGUGACGGGUAGCCGGCCUGGUCGGGUCACGGGCCGUAGUGGUACUGAGAUACGGCCCAGACUCUUACUGGAGGCAGCAGGGGUGAAUCUUCCGCAAUGGAGGAAAGGCUGACGGAGCAACGCCGCGGGAGUGAUGACGGCCUUCGGGUGGUAAAGCUCUGUUAAGCGGGACGCGGUACCGGAAUAGAAAGCAACGGCUAACUACGUGCCAGCAGCCGCGGUAAUAC
rnacentral:rRNA from 1 species